CAGGCCUAACACAUGCAAGUCGAACGGAGCCGCAAGGCUUGAGUGGCAAACGGGAUGCGUAACGCAGUAAGCAACCUGCCCACAACCGGGGGAUAGCCCGGCGAAAGCUGGGGUAAACCCGCAUGGUCCUAAGAAGUCACCUGGCUUUUUAGGUAAGCAUUUAUGGGUUGUGGAGGGGCUUGCGUCUGAUUAGCUAGUUGGCGGGGUAAGGGCCCACCAAGGCGAUGAUCAGUAGGGGUUCUGAGAGGAUUGGCCCCCACAUGGGUACUGAGAUACGGACCCAACUCCUACGGGAGGCAGCAGUAGGGAAUAUUGGGCAAUGGGCGCAAGCCUGACCCAGCCAUGCCGCGUGCCGGAUGAAGGCGCUUAGCGUUGUAAACGGCUUUUGACUGGGAAGAACAGUAGUGGUGCGCCAUUACGUGACGGUACCAGCAGAAUAAGCACCGGCUAACUCCGUGCCAGCAGCCGCGGUAAU
rnacentral:rRNA from 1 species